ACUCCUACGGGAGGCGGCAGUGGGGAAUAUUGCACAAUGGGCGCAAGCCUGAUGCAGCCAUGCCGCGUGUAUGAAGAAGGCCUCGGUUGUAAAGUACUUUCAGCAGUGAGGAAGGUGGUGCAGUUAAUAGCUGUAUCAUUUGACGUUAGCUGCAGAAGAAGCACCGGCUAACUCCGUGCCAGCAGCCGCGGUAAUACGGAGGGUGCGAGCGUUAAUCGGAAUUACUGGGCGUAAAGCGCAUGCAGGUGGUUUGUUAAGUCAGAUGUGAAAGCCCGGGGCUCAACCUCGGAAUUGCAUUUGAAACUGGCAGACUAGAGUACUGUAGAGGGGGUAGAAUUUCAGGUGUAGCGGUGAAAUGCGUAGAGAUCUGAAGGAAU
rnacentral:rRNA from 1 species